rnacentral:rRNA from 1 species
GUUGACCUCGGAUCAGGUAGGAAUACCCGCUGAACUUAAGCAUAUCAAUAAGCGGAGGAAAAGAAACCAACAGGGAUUGCCUUAGUAACGGCGAGUGAAGCGGCAACAGCUCAAAUUUGAAAUCUGGCCUCUUUGGGGUCCGAGUUGUAAUUUGGAGAGGAUGUUUCGGGUACGGUCCGGGCUUAUAUUUCUUGGAACAGAAUGUCAUAGAGGGUGAGAAUCCCGUCUGGAGCUCGGACACGGCCUAUGUGAAACUCCUUCGACGAGUCGAGUUGUUUGGGAAUGCAGCUCUAAAUGGGUGGUAAAUUUCAUCUAAAGCUAAAUAUUGGCCAGAGACCGAUAGCGCACAAGUAGAGUGAUCGAAAGAUGAAAAGCACUUUGAAAAGAGAGUUAAAAAGUACGUGAAAUUGUUGAAAGGGAAGCGCUGGCAACCAGACUUGCAUGUCGGGGUUCCCCCUUGCUUUUGCCUGGGUUACUCCCCGGCGUUCAGGCCAACAUCGGUUUCGGGGGUUGGUUAAAGGCCCUAGGAAUGUACUUACCCUCCGGGGUAAACUUAUAGCCUAGGGUGUCAUGCGACCUCCCGGGACCGAGGAACGCGCUUCGGCUCGGAUGUUGGCGUAAUGGUUGUCAGCGACCCGUCUUGAAACACGGACCAAGGAGUCUAACAUCUAUGCGAGUGUUAGGGUGUCAAACCCUUACGCGGAAUGAAAGUGAACGGAGGUAGGAAGCCGUUAGGCUGCACUAUCGACCGAUCCUGAAGUUUACGGAUGGAUUUGAGUAAGAGCAUAGCUGUUGGGACCCGAAAGAUGGUGAACUAUGCCUGAAUAGGGUGAAGCCAGAGGAAACUCUGGUGGAGGCUCGCAGCGGUUCUGACGUGCAAAUCGAUCGUCAAAUUUGGGUAUAGGGGCGAAAGACUAAUCGA